AACUCUAAUGAAUUGCAGGUCAAAGAAAAAUAGUCUUAGAGUUUUGGUGCAGGAUGCUGGUCUAGGACUCUAGUAGACCCAUUGAGAUCAGAUGAAGAGGAUGGGUCAGAAAUGAGAGGGUGAAGCAAGUUUCGAGUGGGAGGGGAAAAUCUGGAAGGCAACUCAGGAGAAUGUCAAUGGCAUACGAGAGCUAGAGAGCUAAGACGUUGACACACCUAAGCAGGAGGCUGUCGUCGCACA
rnacentral:lncRNA from 1 species